rnacentral:rRNA from 1 species
AUUGAACGCUGGCGGCAGGCUUAACACAUGCAAGUCGAGCGGGGUGAUGGUGCUUGCACUAUCACUUAGCGGCGGACGGGUGAGUAAUGCUUAGGAAUCUGCCUAUUAGUGGGGGACAACAUCUCGAAAGGGAUGCUAAUACCGCAUACGUCCUACGGGAGAAAGCAGGGGAUCACUUGUGACCUUGCGCUAAUAGAUGAGCCUAAGUCGGAUUAGCUAGUUGGUGGGGUAAAGGCCUACCAAGGCGACGAUCUGUAGCGGGUCUGAGAGGAUGAUCCGCCACACUGGGACUGAGACACGGCCCAGACUCCUACGGGAGGCAGCAGUGGGGAAUAUUGGACAAUGGGGGGAACCCUGAUCCAGCCAUGCCGCGUGUGUUAAGAAGGCCUUAUGGUUGUAAAGCACUUUAAGCGAGGAGGAGGCUCUUUUGGUUAAUACCCAAGAUGAGUGGACGUUACUCGCAGAAUAAGCACCGGCUACCUCUGUGCCAGCCGCCGCAGUAA